UACGUAGGGUGCGAGCGUUGUCCGGAAUUAUUGGGCGUAAAGGGCUCGUAGGCGGUUUGUCGCGUCGGGAGUGAAAUCAUCUGGCUUAACUGGGUGCUUGCUUUCGAUACGGGCAGACUAGAGGUAUGCAGGGGAGAACGGAAUUCCUGGUGUAGCGGUGAAAUGCGCAGAUAUCAGGAGGAACACCGGUGGCGAAGGCGGUUCUCUGGGCAUGAUCUGACGCUGAGGAGCGAAAGCGUGGGGAGCAAACAGG
rnacentral:rRNA from 1 species